rnacentral:rRNA from 1 species
CCUACGGGUGGCUGCAGUGAGGAAUAUUGGUCAAUGGCCGGAAGGCUGAACCAGCCAAGCCGCGUGAAGGACGAAGGUGCCAAGCAUUGUAAACUUCUUUUGUCAAGGGACAAAAUCAGGCUCGAGAUCCUGACCUAGGGUACUUGAAGAAAAAGCAUCGGCUAACUCCGUGCCAGCAGCCUCGGUAAUACAGAGGAUGCGAGCGUGAUCCGGAUCUAUUGGGUUUAAAGGGUGCGUAGCCGGGCUGUUAAGUCAGCGGUAAAAGCCCGGUGCUCAACCCCGGCGAGCCGUUGAAACUGGCUGUCUUGAGAUGUCGAGAGGUAUGCGGAAUG